rnacentral:rRNA from 1 species
GGUAGUCCACGCCGUAAACGAUGUCAACUAGCCGUUGGAAUCCUUGAGAUUUUAGUGGCGCAGCUAACGCAUUAAGUUGACCGCCUGGGGAGUACGGCCGCAAGGUUAAAACUCAAAUGAAUUGACGGGGGCCCGCACAAGCGGUGGAGCAUGUGGUUUAAUUCGAUGCAACGCGAAGAACCUUACCUACUCUUGACAUCCAGAGAACUUAGCAGAGAUGCUUUGGUGCCUUCGGGAACUCUGAGACAGGUGCUGCAUGGCUGUCGUCAGCUCGUGUUGUGAAAUGUUGGGUUAAGUCCCGCAACGAGCGCAACCCUUAUCCUUUGUUGCCAGCGGUUCGGCCGGGAACUCAAAGGAGACUGCCAGUGAUAAACUGGAGGAAGGUGGGGAUGACGUCAAGUCAUCAUGGCCCUUACGAGUAGGGCUACACACGUGCUACAAUGGCGCAUACAAAGAGAAGCGACCUCGCGAGAGCAAGCGGACCUCAUAAAGUGCGUCGUAGUCCGGAUUGGAGUCUGCAACUCGACUCCAUGAAGUCGGAAUCGCUAGUAAUCGUAGAUCAGAAUGCUACGGUGAAUACGUUCCCGGGCCUUGUACACACCGCCCGUCACACCAUGGGAGUGGGUUGCAAAAGAAGUAGGUAGCUUAACCUUCGGGAGGGCGCUUACCACUUUGUGAUUCAUGACUGGGGUGAAGUCGUAACAAGGUAACCGUAGGGGAACCUGC